UACGUAGGGUGCAAGCGUUAAUCGGAAUUACUGGGCGUAAAGCGUGCGCAGGCGGUGAUGUAAGACAGAUGUGAAAUCCCCGGGCUCAACUUGGGAACUGCAUUUGUGACUGCAUCGCUGGAGUGCGGCAGAGGGGGAUGGAAUUCCGCGUGUAGCAGUGAAAUGCGUAGAGAUGUGGAGGAACACCGAUGGCGAAGGCAGCCCCCUGGGCUAACACUGACGCUCAUGCACGAAAGCGUGGGGAGCAAACAGG
rnacentral:rRNA from 1 species